rnacentral:rRNA from 1 species
CGGCUGAUGUCAGAUUAGGUAGUUGGUGGGUAAAGGCUCACCAAGCCCACGAUCUGUAGCUGGUCUGAGAGGACGACCAGCCACACUGGGGCUGAGACACGGCCCAGACUCCUACGGGGAGGCAGCAGUGGGGAAUUUUGGACAAUGGGCGCAAGCCUGAUCCAGCAAUGCCGCGUGCAGGAAGAAGGUCUUCGGGUUGUAAACUGCUUUUGUACGGAACGAAAAGGCUCUGGUUAAUACCUGGGGCAUAUGACGGUACCGUAAGAAUAAGCACCGGCUAACUACGUGCCAGCAGCCGCGGUAAUACGUAGGGUGCAAGCGUUAAUCGGAAUUACUGGGCGUAAAGCGUGCGCAGGCGGUUUUGUAAGACAGGUGUGAAAUCCCCGGGCUCAACCUGGGAAUUGCGCUUGUGACUGCAAGGCUGGAGUGCGGCAGAGGGGGAUGGAAUUCCGCGUGUAGCAGUGAAAUGCGUAGAUAUGCGGAGGAACACCGAUGGCGAAGGCAAUCCCCUGGGCCUGCACUGACGCUCAUGCACGAAAGCGUGGGGAGCAAACAGGAUUAGAUAC